GCCUCCGUAGCUCAGCUGGAUAGAGCGCCUGGCUUCGGACCAGGAGGUCGUGGGUUCGAAUCCUGCCGGAGGUACCA
rnacentral:tRNA from 1 species